AUAUUGCGCAAUGGGCGAAAGCCUGACGCAGCGACGCCGCGUGGGGGAUGAAGGUCUUCGGAUUGUAAACCCCUUUCGGGAGGGAAGAUGGGAUAGGGUAACCUAUUCGGACGGUACCUCCAGAAGCAGCCACGGCUAACUUCGUGCCAGCAGCCGCGGUAAUACGAAGGUGGCAAGCGUUGUUCGGAUUUACUGGGCGUACAGGGAGCGUAGGCGGUUGGAUAAGCCCUCCGUGAAAUCUCCAGGCUUAACCUGGAAAGUGCAGAGGGGACUGUUCAGCUAGAGGAUGGGAGAGGAGCGCGGAAUUCCCGGUGUAGCGGUGAAAUGCGUAGAGAUCGGGAGGAAGGCCGGUGGCGAAGGCGGCGCUCUGGAACAUUUCUGACGCUGAGGCUCGAAAGCGUGGGGAGCAAACAGG
rnacentral:rRNA from 1 species